rnacentral:lncRNA from 1 species
AAACAAAAGCAUAGUACCAGCAUCUGCUGGUGAGGACCUCAGGAGGCUUCCACUCAUGGCGGAAGGUGAAGGAGGAGCCGGCAUGUCACUUGUUGAGAAGAAGGAGCAACGGAGAGAGGAGGAGCAAGCCAUUUCUUCAACAAGGAGAAAUUAAUUUCAUCCAAAGAGCCCUAAGAGCAAGGGCAGACUCAGAAAAUCAGAGGCACUGUAGUCAGUUUGAGCAGCUUAUGUCUUCAGACUGCUAAGCUGGCCAGUGCCAGGCUGGGUCCCUUUAAUUUCUCAAACACAAAUCGCCCUGCUGGAAUCUCAAGUUGGAUCUGCAGUAGAUCACCAUUAACUCAGCAGCUUGCUUUGUUAACCACCUAAGCUAAAGAUUCUUUUGAGAACAAGGGCUAGCCUGUGGUUUCAUGGCCUUUCUUCCAUUUGGGGUUCUUGCCAAGUGGAAUUUAAAUGACCUCUUAUCAAGAUGGAUAAACCCAAGUUUCCCAGUGCUGGAAUACAGAAAAUGGAUGGACAAGAUGUCUUUUUGUCACUUCCAGCUGGAUCUACCAUGAAAGACGUCAGAGUCCAGGAAGAGAGACUGACUGGGCAACAUGUUAUUCAGAAUUAGAGAAGAUGAUGUGGUGAUGGAAGAAGAGGUCAGAGAGGGAGAUUUGAAGAUGUUGCAGUUCUGGCCUUCAAGAUGGAGUCAGGGGCUAUCUUCAAGAGAGAAGAUCUUGAUCUGUGGCCCAGGCUGCAGUACAGU